GUACAGUAAAGCAGAGUUAGGGUAUGAAAAUGAUACAGAGAUGGCACCUGAGUAUAUUGGACCUCCAAAGAAUGGUGGAGGUAGCACCAGCAGUUCGGCGUCAGGAAGCAAAGGAGACGCAGAGAAGCCAUAUCUCGAAGAACCAAACUGCACGAGACAGGCGGUUGAAUAUCCCAGAGAAAGCAAGCUACUAGACUUUGGGCACUCAUGUCCGGGGAAGAAACUUGACCUGAACACCCACAAUGUCGACGACACUGAUCAAGCUUACAGACAUUUUGAUUUGAAUGGCUUCAGCUGGAGCUGAUAAUAUGUAAGAUGAUCAAAGUGAAGAAA
rnacentral:lncRNA from 1 species